ensembl:snRNA U6 U6 spliceosomal RNA
GUGCUUGCUUCAGCAGCACAUAAUACUAAAUUGGAAUGAUACAGAGAUAAGCAAGUCCUUUGUUGAAGGAGGCUCAAUUUCACUCAGUUUUUUUUUUUUUUUUU